AACGAACGCUGGCGGCAGGCUUAACACAUGCAAGUCGAACGCAUCCUUCGGGGUGAGUGGCAGACGGGUGAGUAACGCGUGGGAACGUGCCCUUCAGUUCGGGAUAACCCAGGGAAACUUGGGCUAAUACCGGAUACGUGCGAGAGCAGAAAGAUUUAUCGCUGAAGGAUCGGCCCGCGUCUGAUUAGCUAGUUGGUGGGGUAAUGGCCCACCAAGGCGACGAUCAGUAGCUGGUCUGAGAGGAUGAUCAGCCACAUUGGGACUGAGACACGGCCCAACCUCCUGCGGGCGGCAGCAGUGAGGAAUAUUGGACAAUGGGCGCAAGCCUGUUCCAGCCAUGCCCAGUGAGUGAUGAAGGCCUAAGGGUUGUAAAGCUCUUUCGUCCGGGACGAUAAUGACGGUACCGGAAGAAGAAGCCCCGGCUAACUUCGUGCCAGCAGCCGCCGUAA
rnacentral:rRNA from 1 species